GAAAGUGAGGAAAAGAAAGAGAGGUUAGAGCACACACAUCUGGUUGAGAGAUUGAGUUCUUUUUUCAGACUUUAGUUAGCAGGGUACUUGGAAUCAUAAUCAUAUAUGGAUAAGUGGAUAGAAGAUGUUUUUGUUGCCAUUCUUUUCUCCUUAUUGGGUGCGGUUGCUGGAUUCUACUUUUUUAUUUUAUGCGUGAUAGUCUUGAAGUGUAUAUGCUGCAUGCGCCGAAGAAUAAUGAAGAUUUUUAAGAAAAAGCCAGAACAAAGCAGCAGUGACAACGGAGGAGGACAUACUGUGGCGCAGGUGGAUGUGGAGAUGGCGGGGAGGAGGGGGGAAGCAUGAUGCUUUAAUUUAGAAGUUGGUUAUUAAGUGAAGAGAAAUGGAACAACAAGUAAAAUAAUUUAAGAGUUAUGUUGAUUUGAAGUGGUUGGUUUGAUUGAGAGAUACAAUCAAACUAUUAAGAGUGUCGCCGCCGCCAACAACUGUGUCCGGUUAAGAUGUUAUUUAUGUACUUAGUAUAUGAGACCUUCCAAGUUUCAGAUGCAUGCGUAUUCAUUCUUCCAUGGAUCUGUCGACAUUAUUUCUAAGUUUUAAGGCAUUUCUAAUUACCGGGGCUCUGGAUCCGAUCAUCCUUUCAAGUGUUUGGGUGAAAAUUUUCUCUUUUCUGCUUGCUUUUUGACCCGGUUGAGUUCUUGAAAAUUCGAAUUCAAGAUAUAAAAAGUUACAAUUCUCCGGCCUGGCCAGAAAACAGUAAAAGCCCGAAUCCCCAGCCCACCCAGCUGAGUCAGCCAGAGAUAGCGGUCCAAAUAAAGUACUAGUAGAAUUUUAAGUUUUUUUUAACACAUUUUUACUGAACUAAAAAUAUUACCAUGACCGAGACUGGCCAAAUUUAAUUAUUGUCAUGGUCAAAAAAAUAAAUACAGAUCAAAUUUGGUGGUCUUGGGUGUUGCCGAUGAGUCACUUCCACAUACAAAAAGAUUGUCGUAUCACCCAUCUGCGCCACACUCAUUGUCAUUGAUCGUUAUAUUUGUUUUUACCUAGUUCUUUUCACCAAACGCAUGUCAGAAGCUUAAAGACCUACAAGCAUAAAUGGAAACUUAUUUGCUGCUGCACCAGGGUUAGAUCUUACCAAAGGAGAGGAUAUUUCAGAUCGUCAGUACUAGGAAGAACAUUCAUACAUGGAUGUUAUGGCGUUUUUUAUCUCCCUCAUCUUGUAUGCGUUUGCUGGAUGCCUCACUGGUUUUUUAUGCGGGAUGUUCAUUGAUUGUAUGCGUUGCAAGUGCCGAAGAAUUAUGAAGAUCUUUAAGAAAAAGCCAGAAGAAAGCAGCGGAGUCAGUGACAACGGAGGACAUACUGUGGUUCAGGUGGAUGUAGAGAUGGUGGCGAGGAGGUCGGAAGCAUCAUGCUUUAGUUAAGAAGUUGACUAGCUAUUAACUGAAGAUAAACACAAUUACAAGUAAAAUAAUUUAGAUUUAAGUGAUGCGAGUUUGAUAGAGUGAUUAGGAGUGCCGGCGACAACUGUGUCUGCUGGUUAAGGUUAAGAUUAUCUUAUGUACUUAGCAGAUGAGUUAUUCCAAGGUAUGGAUGUUCAAAAGGGUUGUUAAAGUUAACGGCCGGGAACUAAUAAACUGAAAGAAACAAAGAAG